rnacentral:rRNA from 1 species
GAUGAACGCUGGCGGCGUGCUUAACACAUGCAAGUCGAACGAUGAUGCCAGCUUGCUGGUGGAUUAGUGGCGAACGGGUGAGUAACACGUGAGUAACCUGCCCUUAACUCUGGGAUAAGCCUGGGAAACUGGGUCUAAUACCGGAUAUGACUCCUCAUCGCAUGGUGGGGGGUGGAAAGCUUUAUUGUGGUUUUGGAUGGACUCGCGGCCUAUCAGCUUGUUGGUGAGGUAAUGGCUCACCAAGGCGACGACGGGUAGCCGGCCUGAGAGGGUGACCGGCCACACUGGGACUGAGACACGGCCCAGACUCCUACGGGAGGCAGCAGUGGGGAAUAUUGCACAAUGGGCGAAAGCCUGAUGCAGCGACGCCGCGUGAGGGAUGACGGCCUUCGGGUUGUAAACCUCUUUCAGUAGGGAAGAAGCGAAAGUGACGGUACC